rnacentral:rRNA from 1 species
CAUAGCGUAUAUUAAAGUUGUUGCGGUUAAAAAGCCUCGUAGUUGGAUUUCUGUUGAGAACAGCCGGUCCACCUCUUGGGUGAGUAUCUGGAUUGGUCUCGGCAUCCUCUCGAAACUCGUUGCUGCGCUUGAUUGCGUGGUGCGGUGUUCGGGACUUUUACUUUGAGGAAAUUAGAGUGUUCACGGCAGGCAAUCGCCUUGAAUAUAUUAGCAUGGAAUAAUACUAUAGGAUCUUGGUUCUAUUUUGUUGGUUUCUAGGGCUAAGAUAAUAAUCAAUAGGGACAAUUGGGGGCAUUCGUAUUACGGCGUCAGAGGUGAAAUUCUUGGAUUGCCGUACGACGAACUACUGCGAAAGCAUUUGCCAAGGAUGUUUUCAUUGAUCAAGAACGAAAGUAAGGGGAUCGAAGAUGAUUAGAUACCGUCGUAGUCUUUACCAUAAACUAUGCCAACUAGGGAUGAGGCGUCGUUCUUCUAUGACUCGCUUCGCACCUUAUGAGAAAUCAAAGUUUUUGGGUUCCGGGGGGAGUAUGGUCGCAAGGCUGAAACUUAAA